UACGUAGGGGGCAAGCGUUGUCCGGAUUCAUUGGGCGUAAAGAGCGUGUAGGCGGCCAGGUAGGUCGGUUGUGAAAACUGGAGGCUCAACCUUCAGAGGUCGACCGAAACCAUCUGGCUAGAGUCCGGGAGAGGAGAGUGGAAUUCCUGGUGUAGCGGUGAAAUGCGCAGAUAUCAGGAAGAACACCCGUGGCGAAAGCGGCUCUCUGGACAGGUACUGACGCUGAGGCACGAAGGCCAGGGGAGCAAACGGG
rnacentral:rRNA from 1 species